AUGAACGCUGCCAGAAUGCUUAACACAUGCAAGUCGAUGGGGAAGUGGUGCUUGCACCCUGGCAACCAUGGCGGACGGGUGAGUAACGCGUAAGGGACUUACCUGCAGGACUGGGAUAACAGGGGGAAACUCCUGACAAGACCGGAUAAUGUCAUGGAGCUGCAUGGCUUUAUGAUGAAAGGAGACGCCUGCGGAGAGCCUUGCGUCCUAUUAGCUAGUUGGUGAGGUAAUGGCUCACCAAGGCGAAGAUAGGUAGCCGGCCUGAGAGGGUGGACGGCCACAAGGGGACUGAGAUACGGCCCUUACUCCUACGGGAGGCAGCAGUGGGGAAUAUUGGACAAUGGGGGCAACCCUGAUCCAGCAAUUCUGUGUGCACGAAGAAGGUUUUCGGAUUGUAAAGUGCUUUCAGCAGGGAAGAAGUAAGUGACGGUACCUGCAGAAGAAGCGACGGCUAAAUACGUG
rnacentral:rRNA from 1 species